UACGUAGGGUGCGAGCGUUGUCCGGAAUUAUUGGGCGUAAAGAGCUUGUAGGCGGUCUGUCGCGUCUGCUGUGAAAAUCCGGGGCUCAACCCCGGACUUGCAGUGGGUACGGGCAGACUAGAGUGUGGUAGGGGAGACUGGAAUUCCUGGUGUAGCGGUGAAAUGCGCAGAUAUCAGGAGGAACACCGGUGCGAAGGCGGGUCUCUGGGGCCAUACUGACUGAGGAGCGAAAGCAUGGGGUAGCGAAC
rnacentral:rRNA from 1 species